AGGACGAACGCUGGCGGCGUGCCUAACACAUGCAAGUCGAGCGAGGAGAUCCUUCGGGAUGAUCCUAGCGGCGGACGGGUGAGUAACACGUGGGCAACCUGCCUCAUAGAGAGGAAUAGCCUUCCGAAAGGGAGAUUAAUACCUCAUAACAUUGCAGUUUCGCAUGAAACAGCAAUUAAAGGAGCAAUCCGCUAUGAGAUGGGCCCGCGGCGCAUUAGCUAGUUGGUGAGGUAACGGCUCACCAAGGCGACGAUGCGUAGCCGACCUGAGAGGGUGAUCGGCCACAUUGGGACUGAGACACGGCCCAGACUCCUACGGGAGGCAGCAGUGGGGAAUAUUGCACAAUGGGGGAAACCCUGAUGCAAGCAACGCCGCGUGAGUGAUGACGGCCUUCGGGUUGUAAAGCUCUGUCUUCAGGGACGAUAAUGACGGUACCUGAGGAGGAAGCCACGGCUAACUACGUGCCAGCAGCGGC
rnacentral:rRNA from 1 species